AAAUAUAAGAAGAGAUGGACAGAGAGGAAGAGGAGGGCAAGGUGUAAGGGGAGGGAGGAGAGGUAGAAGGAUAGGGUACACACGUGUUUCAAACGAAAUCAGAGCCACACUUGUUGACUCUGUCAUAAAUGAUGGUGUCUCACUGAGAGAAGCUGGGCAGAGAGUUCAGCCCAAUAUAAACAGAUCCACAGUGGCUUCAAUUAUCCGCACAUUUCAGAGGGAUAUAGUUACCGCAUUUUUCAGAAUUGAAGUUCGAGAACACUCAGGUGGAUGAACAAGUCUUCUUUCAAUUGAACAAGAGCAUGCCAUUGUUGACAUGGUGGUCCAGAACAACACCCUCCGCCUCACAGAAAUUCAGCAAAGAAUAACACCGGACAAUCAACUGUUCCACAAUAUCCACCAGUGCAGUCUCUCCACAACUGAUCAUGUUCUUAGGAGAAAUGCAAUCCAAAUGAAGCAAGUAUACAAAGGGCCUUUUGAGAGGAACUCCGUUAGAGUGAAGGAGUUGCGAUUUCCAGUUUGUUCAAAGAAUCUUGGAGUUGGAUAGCAGUACAACUCGUUAGGAGUACAUGUCUAUUGAUGAAACAGGCUUCAAUCUUCACAAAAAAGGAGAAGAGGGAGAAAUGUGAUUGGCCGUCAUGCUAAAGUCAAUGUACCUGGACAACGAGGAGGCAACAUCACUCUCUGUGCCACAAUUUCUACAACUGCUGUUGUGGCACACAAUGCUGUCUUGGGACCAUACAACACAGCCAGCAUUUUUUUUUUUAUUUUUUUUUUUAAACCUCCUCAAUGAAAUCCUCUUUCCGCAGGGUGAUCAGGAGCAAAUAGUGCGAAAUUUUGUAGUUUGGGACAAUGUCCAAUUCCACCAUUCAGAGAGUGGUUUGAGAAUCCCCCACAUUUCAGGAUGGUGUUCCUUCCACCAUAUUCUCCUUUCCUGAAUCCACUCAUUGUU